rnacentral:rRNA from 1 species
AGUGAACGCUGGCGGCAGGCCUAACACAUGCAAGUCGAACGGCAGCACAGAGGAGCUUGCUCCUUGGGUGGCGAGUGGCGGACGGGUGAGGAAUGCAUCGGAAUCUGCCUAUUUGUGGGGGAUAACGUAGGGAAACUUACGCUAAUACCGCAUACGUCCUACGGGAGAAAGUGGGGGACCUUCGGGCCUCACGCAGAUAGAUGAGCCGAUGCCGGAUUAGCUAGUUGGCGGGGUAAAGGCCCACCAAGGCGACGAUCCGUAGCUGGUCUGAGAGGAUGAUCAGCCACACUGGAACGGAGACACGGUCCAGACUCCUACGGGAGGCAGCAGUGGGGAAUAUUGGACAAUGGGCGCAAGCCUGAUCCAGCCAUGCCGCGUGUGUGAAGAAGGCCUUCGGGUUGUAAAGCACUUUUGUCCGGAAAGAAAAGCGCUCGAUUAAUACUCGGGUGUUAUGACGGUACCGGAAGAAUAAGCACCGGCUAACUUCGUGCCAGCCGCCGCCGUAACAC